CCUACGGGAGGCAGCAGUGGGGAAUAUUGCACAAUGGGGGAAACCCUGAUGCAGCAACGCCGCGUGCGUGAGGAAGGAGUUCAGUAUGUAAAGCUCUAUCAGCAGGGAAGCAAAUGACAGUACCUGACUAGGAAUGCGCGGCUAACUACGUGCCAGCAGCCGCGGUAAUACGGAGGGGUCAAGCGUUAUCCGGAUGAACUGGGUGUAAAGUGAGCGUAGACGGGUUCUCAAGUCAGAAGUGAAAGGCCGGGGCUCAACCGCUGGCCUGCUUGUGAAACUGUGUAGCUAGAGUGCAGGAGAGGCAAGUGGAAUUCGUAGUGUAGCGGUGAAAUGCGUAGAUAUUAGGAGGAACCCCGGUGGCGAAGGCGGCGUACUGGACUGUAACUGACGUUGAGGCUCGAAAGCGCGGGGAGCGAACAGGAUUAGAUACCCUUGUAGUC
rnacentral:rRNA from 1 species